GUACAUAAAGCAGAACAAUGACGUUGCUCUCUGUGCACCAGGGAUGUGUAUCAAUUUCUUUCACUUCUCUACUUUCUUCAUGCACAUUAUUACCUCAUUACUUCUUUUUCCAUUAGGUUCCAUCAAGAAAAUAAUCAUUGUUUUAAUAUAACCAAUAUGGUACUAUUACUUGAUUGAUUGUGUCAAAAGCAAUUAAGAAUUAAGAUACAGGAGUUUUCGAUAUAAUUGAGUUACUUUGACCUUAUUAAUCAGUAGUUUUGAAUUUUAGAUAUAAUCCAAAUAAAGAAGCUAGUAUUAGUAAUUUUAAAUUUUGAUCUAAUAAUGGAAAUCCAUCUUGCAUUGUUUCUUCUUGAGUUCUCUCUGUGCUUCUUGAGUUCUCAUCACUUUUGGCUAAUGAAGCUCAAGCAAAAGCUGAAGUAGGUGAUAACUAUGUGUAUGCAACUAUUGAUUGGUCGCCUCAUGAUAAGUUGUUAGUAUAUUGAUCAUUCAGAUAGCAUAUGAGAAUUAAUAUCUUUUGGAGCUAAUUUAUAAGGGUUUUAAUAUUUUAGGUAUCAAAUAGGUGUUUUACUCUAACUUAAUUAUGCCGUGGAUUUAAUCUAUUCGGGAAUGACAAAAUUCUAUUCACAGGGAAUUUUUGAAAAGCUCAUGAGCAAUGCUGUUAAUGCCUAGGAACUGCACUUAAAAGGAGCUGUGUAUGUAGCAAUAUUUGAAGUGUUUUUAUGAUUUCAGUAUCUAAUUUAUAAUUGAGGUUUGGUGUUUAAGUGUUGUUUUGUAUAUAUCAAUUGCACCUUUAUGAAUCUGUUGAAAUUUAUAUCAAUUGCUGCUCUAAAAAAUUAAGACUGUUUAAAUUAAAGCUUUACCAAAUUGAAUUUAAGAUUUAUGUGGUGAUUGAAUUUGUUUGUUUGCCAUGUACAGGGGUGACCACACAGUAAAGAUAAUUGAUUGUGAAACUAGAAGUUGCGUAAAGGUGCUAGGUGGUCAUAGAAGGACGCCUUGGGUGCUUGAUGCUUCGUCUUAAUAGGACCUUUGUCACUAGUCCUCUUAUUUGGGAUUUGAAGGCACUUCAAGAGAAUCCUCACUAGUUCUCAGCACACAAAUUUUAAGAGGAAAUGUUACUGCAAUAAGCAAGCAUGAAAUUGGAUUAGUUAAUUUAGAAAGACAUCUAGCCACAGUUAAGCAUGAUUCAAAUGAAACCAAAACACCUGAAACUCCAAAGGUUGUAAAGUUUUAACAGAUUAAGCUAUAAUUCUAUCAAAGCUAGAGAGAGGGAUCAAAAAGUAAA